CAAGCGUUGUCCGGAAUUAUUGGGCGUAAAGCGCGUGUAGGCGGCCAGAUAAGUCCGCUGUGAAAUCUCGAGGCUCAACUUCGAGCUGUCGGUGGAAACUGUCUGGCUAGAGUCCGGAAGAGGAGAAUGGAAUUCCUGGUGUAGCGGUGAAAUGCGCAGAUAUCAGGAAGAACACCCGUGGCGAAGGCGGUUCUCUGGGACGGUACUGACGCUGAGACGCGAAAGCGUGGGGAGCGAACAGG
rnacentral:rRNA from 1 species